rnacentral:rRNA from 1 species
UACGUAGGGUGCAAGCGUUGUCCGGAAUUAUUGGGCGUAAAGAGCUCGUAGGCGGUCUGUCGCGUCGGCUGUGAAAUCCCGAGGCUCAACCUCGGGUCUGCAGUCGAUACGGGCAAACUAGAGUAUUGCAGGGGAGACUGGAAUUCCUGGUGUAGCGGUGAAAUGCGUAGAGAUCGACAAGAACACCAGCGGCGAAGGCGGCGCUCUGGGCUGGAACUGACGCUGAGGAGCGAAAGCGUGGGGAGCGAACAGG